UACAGAGGGGGCAAGCGUUGUUCGGAAUUACUGGGCGUAAAGGGCGCGUAGGCGGCCCGCUAAGUCGAACGUGAAAUCCCUGGGCUCAACCCAGGAACUGCGUCCGAGACUGGAGGGCUCGAAUCCGGGAGAGGGAUGUGGAAUUCCAGGUGUAGCGGUGAAAUGCGUAGAUAUCUGGAGGAACACCGGUGGCGAAGGCGGCAUCCUGGACCAACACUGACACUGAGGAGCGAAAGCCAGGGGAGCAAACGGG
rnacentral:rRNA from 1 species